AACCUCCGCAAUGUGAGAAAUUGCGACGGGGGGAUCCCAAGUGCCAUUCUUAACGGGAUGGCUUUUCAUUAGUGUAAAGAGCUUUUGGAAUAAGAGCUGGGCAAGACCGGUGCCAGCCGCCGCGGUAACACCGGCAGCUCUAGUGGUAACAAUUUUUAUUGGGCCUAAAGCGUCCGUAGCCGGUUUAAUAAGUCUCUGGUGAAAUCCUGCAGCUUAACUGUGGGAAUUGCUGGAGAUACUAUUAGACUUGAGACCGGGAGAGGUUAGAGGUACUCCCAGGGUAGAGGUGAAAUUCUGUAAUCCUGGGAGGACCGCCUGUUGCGAAGGCGUCUAACUGGAACGGUUCUGACGGUGAGGGACGAAAGUUAGGGGCGCGAACCGGAUUAGAUACCCGGGUAGUCCUAACUGUAAACGAUGCGGACUUGGUGUUGGGGUGGCUUUGAGCUGCUUCAGUGCCGAAGGGAAGCUGUUAAGUCCGCCGCCUGGGAAGUACGGUCGCAAGACUGAAACUUAAAGGAAUU
rnacentral:rRNA from 1 species